rnacentral:rRNA from 1 species
AGAUAUGAUCCAGAGUACCACGGGACACGUGAAACCCUGUGGGAAGCAGGAGGGACCACCCUCCAAGGCUAAAUACUACCUAGUGACCGAUAGCGUAUAGUACCGUGAGGGAAAGGUGAAAAGAACCCCGGGAGGGGAGUGAAAUAGAACCUGAACCCCUGCACUUACAAGCUGUGGAAGCACAUUUCUUGUGUGACCGCGUACUUUUUGUAGAACGGGCCAACGAGUUACGUUAAGUAGCAAGGUUAAGCACUUAAGGUG